GCGUAAUUAGUCUAGUGGUAAGUUACUUAUCUCACCUCCAAGCACUAGGGCUGGGUUCGAUUCCCAGAUUACGCA